UGCCCUUCCUAGCUUCCCUCAAUCCCACUCUUCUUCUCUCCCCAGAGUCCAAAACCCCACUCCAAAGUCCAAACUUUGCACAGCAAUCUUCUCUUGCUGCUCUCUUCACCAUUCAUCAAGCAACCCCAUGUCAUCCCCACCAGUUUCCACUUCUAAGAAUGCACCUUUAACCGUUGAUUAUCCUACACCACUCUUCCCUUCCUUGCCACCCAUCUCAAAGCAGAUAGAGCUAAGCAGGGCCAUGGCCGGCU
rnacentral:misc_RNA from 1 species